UGGCCGAAAAAACUAUUACGGACGAAUUGGACGAAUUGGAACACGCAAACAGAGAAUUUGAAUCGACAGAAGAUGCAGAAAAAUUGAUUUUACGCGUUCUCAAAACCGUUACGAAAAUCGGAUGCGACGUUUUUGAUGAAUGUUUUGAAGAUAUGAAGCCGAAGGCCGUCAAUUUGAGCAGCGGAUACGAUAACAUAGAACGAGGAAGAAAAUUUGCCAUGUUGCCGUCGGCAUUAAGGACCUUGACCAUUUUGAUUGAUGUCGUUUGCAAAAAUCGUGAUAUUUAUAACGGUGAGAAUGUCGUAUCUACCAGCUCUUCAACAGAAAAUCCGCAUCCAGUCACAUCAACAAAAAGUUCAAAACCACAUCCAUACCAAUUUUUCUUCGGCCAAGUCCAAAAUUUCAACUGC